UGCCAUUCUCCAUCGGAGCAUACUUGAACUGACGGUUACUCCCAAUCAUCCUCACUUUUCCAACAAAAAUGGUUUCUCAUUCGUUUGGCUGUGGAAAUCAUGGAAACAUUGUCACAUUCUCUAUAUACAUAAAAUUCGGCCUUUUAAGGUUACGUAUUAUAUUUUCAAGUUCUGAAAAUAUUCAGCAUGUGUAAAUAUGAUUGUAAUAUUGAGAAGGAAUGUCCGGGUCAUAUUUAGGCGAAAUCGGAGUUGAGGGAUGCCGAGAAUCUUCAAUUUUGUAUUCUCCUCAAGUCCGCUUUAAUAAGACUGUGCAACCGCAGAGAUCAAAAAUAAUACACGAAGAUCCUGAGCAAUCAGACAAAAUUGCAGGCUGCUUAAAAUCCGGCUUUUUUGCAAGAUUACUUUUUAAAUCUCUAUGCUCUUGAGGAGAUUUGAAUCGUUGCUGAAUGUAGAGCUCUCCAUGGGAUAAAUAGACUGAAGAGGAUAUCUCGUGAAAAAAGUCUUCUAUUGUGAAUCUCAAGUUUUCGUGGAAUUUUUAAACUCAUCACUGGAUAAAUUCUAUAAAGAGGAGGCAGCGGUGUCAAUAUUCUGUCGAGAUGAAAAUCAACGAAUGUAAGUCCCUCCUGUUCUCAAAAAUUUAAAC